GGUUCCGUAGGUGAACCUGCGGAAGGAUCAUUACCGAGUGCGGGCUGCCUCCGGGCGCCCAACCUCCCACCCGUGACUACCUAACACUGUUGCUUCGGCGGGGAGCCCCCCAGGGGGCGAGCCGCCGGGGACCACUGAACUUCAUGCCUGAGAGUGAUGCAGUCUGAGCCUGAAUACAAAUCAGUCAAAACUUUCAACAAUGGAUCUCUUGGUUCCGGCAUCGAUGAAGAACGCAGCGAACUGCGAUAAGUAAUGUGAAUUGCAGAAUUCAGUGAAUCAUCGAGUCUUUGAACGCACAUUGCGCCCCCUGGCAUUCCGGGGGGCAUGCCUGUCCGAGCGUCAUUGCUGCCCUCAAGCCCGGCUUGUGUGUUGGGUCGUCGUCCCCCCCCGGGGGACGGGCCCGAAAGGCAGCGGCGGCACCGUGUCCGGUCCUCGAGCGUAUGGGGCUUUGUCACCCGCUCGAUUAGGGCCGGCCGGGCGCCAGCCGGCGUCUCCAACCUUAUUUUUCUCAGGUUGACCUCGGAUCAGGUAGGGAUACCCGCUGAACUUAAGCAUAUCA
rnacentral:misc_RNA from 1 species